GCGAAUCUCGAAAGACCUGUCUCAGUUCGGAUUGGAGGCUGAAACCCGCCUCCAUGAAGUUGGAUUCGCUAGUAAUCGCGCAUCAGCCAUGGCGCGGUGAAUACGUUCCCGGGCCUUGUACACACCGCCCGUCAAGCCAUGGGAGCCGGGGGUGCCUGAAGCCGGUGAGGUAACCGAGAGGAGCCAGCCGUCGAAGGUGAGACCAAUGACUGGGGUGAAGUCGUAACAAGGUAGC
rnacentral:rRNA from 1 species